rnacentral:rRNA from 1 species
UACGGGGGGGGCAAGCGUUGUUCGGAAUUACUGGGCGUAAAGGGCUCGUAGGCGGCCAACUAAGUCGGACGUGAAAUCCCUCGGCUUAACUGGGGAACUGCGUCCGAUACUGGAUGGCUUGAGUUUGGGAGAGGGAUGCGGAAUUCCAGGUGUAGCGGUGAAAUGCGUAGAUAUCUGGAGGAACACCGGUGGCGAAGGCGGCAUCCUGGACCAAUACUGACGCUGAGGAGCGAAAGCCAGGGGAGCAAACGGG